rnacentral:rRNA from 1 species
CUACGUGCCAGCAGCCGCGGUAAUACGUAGGUGGCAAGCGUUGUCCGGAAUUAUUGGGCGUAAAGCGCGCGCAGGCGGAUUGGUCAGUCUGUMUUAAAAGUUCGGGGCUUAACCCCGUGAUGGGAUGGAAACUGCCAAUCUAGAGUAUCGGAGAGGAAAGUGGAAUUCCUAGUGUAGCGGUGAAAUGCGUAGAUAUUAGGAAGAACACCAGUGGCGAAGGCGACUUUCUGGACGAAAACUGACGCUGGGGCGCGAAAGCCAGGGGAGCGAACGGGAUUAGAUACCCCGGUAGUCCUGGCCAUAAACGAUGGGUACUAGGUGUAGGAGGUAUCGACCCCUUCUGUGCCGGAGUUAACGCAAUAAGUACCCCGCCUGGGGAGUACGACCGCAAGGUUGAAACUCAAAGGAAUUGACGGGGGCCCGCACAAGCGGUGGAGUAUGUGGUUUAAUUCGACGCAACGCGAAGAACCUUACCAGGUCUUGACAU